GGGAAUGUGUUGUUAGAUUCCGAUAUGAAUGGACGACUUGGAGAUUUCGGACUUGCUAAGUUAUAUGAGCAUGGAGAAAAUCCUUCCACAACAAGAGUAGUCGGUACGUUGGGUUACUUAGCUCCAGAAUUAACCAAGACUGGGAAGCCCACGACAAGUUCAGAUGUUUUUGCCUUUGGUGCGUUGCUGCUAGAAGUUGUUUGUGGGAGGCGGCCGAUUGAGGCAAAGGCAUUGCCU
rnacentral:misc_RNA from 1 species